CGUUGGGUGAGGGCGCUGCUUCAUCCCGUGACUAGCUCUGGGCCUGGCAGCGCUGCCCAGCACGCGGCACCUGGGCCUUCUUCUGGGAGCUCAGCGGCGUCUCCUCGGCCGUCAUCCUGCAUGGCAGCGAGGUGACAGCCAUGGCACCGUCGCAGCGGGAGGUCCUGCCCCCGGCACCACUGUCCCCGCUGAGGAGAAAGUGGACGCAAAGAAGAGGAGAGCAGAGAGCAGGCAUAAUGGACAAAUGUAAUGUUGCCUGAAAGCAAGGCUGUCAUUGUUAACACUGCUGAUCAACUCUUCCGAGGCUUUGAGGGAACCAAGAGUUGCAGUUUCAAGGUCGUAUGGAUGAUGGGACAUCUCUGGAAAGGGCCAACUCUAAGCAACUGUGUUUCAGCUGGAACAUUACAAAUACACAACUGAAUGAAAGAUGAGAAGACAAUCUGUCGGGGGGGCCGGCAGCACUGAAGUCCACUGUAGUUUGCAGAGCAAAAUUUACUGUUUCAUCUGAGUCUUGGUUAUUUCUACCGCCGGAUUUAACAAAACUCUAAUGUUAAAUUUAAAGUAGCAUGAGGGUUUUAUAAAGACCUUGCAUAAUAAAUUCCAGCCCAUAUGGCCUCAUUCGCAGAAUCUGAAA